rnacentral:rRNA from 2 species
CCCGUGAUCCGGGUUGCGGACAGUGUCUGGUGGGUAGUUUGACUGGGGCGGUCUCCUCCUAAAGAGUAACGGAGGAGCACGAAGGUUGGCUAAUCCUGGUCGGACAUCAGGAGGUUAGUGCAAUGGCAUAAGCCAGCUUGACUGCGAGCGUGACGGCGCGAGCAGGUGCGAAAGCAGGUCAUAGUGAUCCGGUGGUUCUGAAUGGAAGGGCCAUCGCUCAACGGAUAAAAGGUACUCCGGGGAUAACAGGCUGAUACCGCCCAAGAGUUCAUAUCGACGGCGGUGUUUGGCACCUCGAUGUCGGCUCAUCACAUCCUGGGGCUGAAGUAGGUCCCAAGGGUAUGGCUGUUCGCCAUUUAAAGUGGUACGCGAGCUGGGUUUAGAACGUCGUGAGACAGUUCGGUCCCUAUCUGCCGUGGGCGCUGGAGAACUGAGGGGGGCUGCUCCUAGUACGAGAGGACCGGAGUGGACGCAUCACUGGUGUUCGGGUUGUCAUGCCAAUGGCACUGCCCGGUAGCUAAAUGCGGAAGAGAUAAGUGCUGAAAGCAUCUAAGCACGAAACUUGCCCCGAGAUGAGUUCUCCCUGAGACUUAGAGUCUCCUGAAGGAACGUUGAAGACGACGACGUUGAUAGGCCGGGUGUGUAAGCGCAGCGAUGCGUUGAGCUAACCGGUACUAAUGAACCGUGAGGCUUAACCUUACAACGCCGAAG